UCACAUCUAAAAUGCAUGGUCUAAUUGUAAUUUGAAAUGUCCAUUGAGAGUUUCCAUAGUUUGCAGAAGUUGAAGUUCAUGCUGCAGAGUUGUUGUCACAAGCCCCGCCCCCAUUCCAACCUGGAGAGAAUAAUUCAAGUCACACACACUUGUGACGUACCGAGUCCUUACGCCACAAUAAGGUGUGAGUACUGAGUGCACGCAGGAGUGUGCACGUGACACUGAAGUGCUCAUAAGAAAUAAACAGCUAUUGGUCAGAAUAACCUUUCCUGCUCUGAUACAUCUUUGAAACAUCUUCUUAAUAAUCCUCAUAAUUGUUUACAAUGUUUUUUCUUAUAAGUUAUUCAAGUUAUGAACUGACCAAUCAGACACCUCAGUUACAGCAUGUGGCGCCCACUUCAAACCAUCGAUUGACACGAAGAUUCCACCUUUCAGAUGUUGGGCUGUGAACUUUGAACAAGCCCGCUCCUGAUUGGUGGCAGUGGUUGCCAUAGAAACGUGACUCAGACCGACUCGGACCAAUCACUGUCGUCCGACUCCGACAUGGCGGCCUCCGUAUCGGGAAAAACUGGCGACUGAAUUGGCUUCAUUUGGCUGGAGCCAGAGUUUCCAUCAUUCACCAAGACCCUUCAUACAAGAAGAGCUGAUUCCUGGUUCCACCUCAGCACCGCCGAGAGACGAUGUGCACAGAGGAGCUCUCUGCCGUCGUUUUCCCGCCAUCAGGUCCCGCAUGUGUGCGAGUCCCGUCUCGGUUGGACCCAGACUCCAGUCGUCGCAGUCGUGAGCGUCCGUGCCAAGACAGAGACCCACAGGAGGAACCGAGCCAGCUGGCUGGCGUCCUCUUUUUGCCAAACCCCCUCAGAAACUUUCACACACAUGCACAGUCCCCCCCCCCAAUGAAACUCCAUCCUCAACACAGACGAGGAGACACUCUGAGCUGGCACCCAUCCAGGGCUCGACAUUUGGGAGCUGUGAAGGCGACAGGAGCGUCAACAACAUCCCGCCGCUGAUACGGACUCCUCCUCGCCGCCUGCAGCACGCCUGCAAAGACACAGCCUCAAUCGAUAAAUCAGAGUCCGCUUUCAACACGUUUGAGCUCCGCUG